rnacentral:rRNA from 1 species
GAUGAACGCUGGCGGCGUGCCUAAUACAUGCAAGUCGAGCGAACAGACGAGGAGCUUGCUCCUCUGACGUUAGCGGCGGACGGGUGAGUAACACGUGGAUAACCUACCUAUAAGACUGGGAUAACUUCGGGAAACCGGAGCUAAUACCGGAUAACAUGUUGAACCGCAUGGUUUAACAGUGAAAGACGGUCUUGCUGUCACUUAUAGAUGGAUCCGCGCCGCAUUAGCUAGUUGGUAAGGUAACGGCUUACCAAGGCAACGAUGCGUAGCCGACCUGAGAGGGUGAUCGGCCACACUGGAACUGAGACACGGUCCAGACUCCUACGGGAGGCAGCAGUAGGGAAUCUUCCGCAAAGGGCGAAAGCCUGACGGAGCAACGCCGCGUGAGUGAAGAAGGUCUUCGGAUCGUAAAACUCUGUUAUUAGGGAAGAACAAAUGUGUAAGUAACUAUGCACGUCUUGACGGUACCUAAUCAGAAAGCCACGGCUAACUACGUG